UUGAAACACCAAUUCUUGUAAGAUCACCAAAAGUUAAGCAAUGUCAAGCCUGGUUAGUACCUAGAUGGGUGACCACUUGGGAAUACUAGGUGCUGUAAG